rnacentral:rRNA from 1 species
AAGAUGCAGGUUACCCGCGACAGGACGGAAAGACCCCAUGGAGCUUUACUGCAGUUUGAUAUUGAGUGUCUGUACCACAUGUACAGGAUAGGUAGGAGUCUAAGAGAUCGGGACGCCAGUUUCGAAGGAGACGCUGUUGGGAUACUACCCUUGUGUUAUGGCCACUCUAACCCAGAUAGGUUAUCCCUAUCGGAGACAGUGUCUGACGGGCAGUUUGACUGGGGCGGUCGCCUCCUAAAAGGUAACGGAGGCGCCCAAAGGUUCCCUCAGAAUGGUUGGAAAUCAUUCGC